AUUGAACGCUGGCGGCAUGCCUUACACAUGCAAGUCGAACGGCAGCACGGGUGCUUGCACCUGGUGGCGAGUGGCGAACGGGUGAGUAAUACAUCGGAACAUGUCCUGUAGUGGGGGAUAGCCCGGCGAAAGCCGGAUUAAUACCGCAUACGAUCCACGGAUGAAAGCGGGGGACCUUCGGGCCUCGCGCUAUAGGGUUGGCCGAUGGCUGAUUAGCUAGUUGGUGGGGUAAAGGCCUACCAAGGCGACGAUCAGUAGCUGGUCUGAGAGGACGACCAGCCACACUGGGACUGAGACACGGCCCAGACUCCUACGGGAGGCAGCAGUGGGGAAUUUUGGACAAUGGGCGAGAGCCUGAUCCAGCAAUGCCGCGUGUGUGAAGAAGGCCUUCGGGUUGUAAAGCACUUUUGUCCGGAAAGAAAUCCUUGGCUCUAAUACAGUCGGGGGAUGACGGUACCGGAAGAAUAAGCACCGGCUAACUACGUG
rnacentral:rRNA from 1 species